rnacentral:lncRNA from 1 species
GACUAUUGAGGUUUAAUGUCUUGACGCUCAUAUAGGAUGGAAUAUGGGGUCGGCUAUGUAAUUAAAACUGUUAAGGAAAAGGGUUCACAUGUAGCGGGGACACCCCUAUGAAUCCCCAUGGAUACUAGUAGGCUGGUGAAACGAGAAACGGUUACGAUUUCAUUUAUUGUUAAUAAAUGUGAAUUUAUGAUAUGUUCUAUGUUGCUGAUCGUGCAUGAAAUUAUGAUAUAUAUGAUAUUAUUGCUUCUAUAAUUUGUUUUCAUAAAUUCCCCAAUGGUAAGUAAAU